GAUGAACGCCAGCGACAGGCUUAACACAUGCAAGUCGAGGGGCAGCUCGAUGUAGCAAUACAUUGGUGGCGACCGGCGCACGGGUGAGUAACGCGUAUGCAACCUACCUAUCAGAGGGGAAUAACCCGGCGAAAGUCGGACUAAUACCGCACAAAACAGGGGUUCCACAUGGAAAUAUUUGCUAAAGAAUUAUCGCUGAUAGAUGGGCAUGCGUUCCAUUAGAUAGUUGGUGAGGUAACGGCUCACCAAGUCCACGAUGGAUAGGGGUUCUGAGAGGAAGGUCCCCCACACUGGUACUGAGACACGGACCAG
rnacentral:rRNA from 1 species